GACGUAGGGCGCGAGCGUUGUCCGGAUUUAUUGGGCGUAAAGAGCUCGUAGGCGGCUUGUCGCGUCGUCCGUGGAAACUUGGGGCUCAACCCCAAGCUUGCGGUCGAUACGGGCAGGCUAGAGUUCGGUAGGGGAGACUGGAAUUCCUGGUGUAGCGGUGAAAUGCGCAGAUAUCAGGAGGAACACCGGUGGCGAAGGCGGGUCUCUGGGCCGAUACUGACGCUGAGGAGCGAAAGCGUGGGGAGCGAACAGG
rnacentral:rRNA from 1 species